UACGAGGGGGGCAAAUGUUGUUCGGAAUCACUGGGCGUAAAGGGAGCGUAGGCGGGUUUCUAAGUCAGGUGUUUAAUCCCGGGGCCCAACCCCGGACAGGCACUUGAAACUGGGAAUCUUGAAUAGUGGAGAGGUCAGUGGAAUUGGGGGUGUAGCGGUGGAAUGCGUAGAGAUCCCCAAGAACACCAGUUGCGAAGGCGGCUGACUGGACACAUAUUGACGCUGAGGCUCGAAAGCCAGGGGAGCAAACGGG
rnacentral:rRNA from 1 species